AGUGAACGCUGGCGGUAGGCCUAACACAUGCAAGUCGAACGGCAGCACAGUAAGAGCUUGCUCUUACGGGUGGCGAGUGGCGGACGGGUGAGGAAUACAUCGGAAUCUACUUUUUCGUGGGGGAUAACGUAGGGAAACUUACGCUAAUACCGCAUACGACCUACGGGUGAAAGCAGGGGAUCUUCGGACUUUGCGCGAUUGAAUGAGCCGCUGUCGGAUUAGCUAGUUGGCGGGGUAAAGGCCCACCAAGGCGACGAUCCGUAGCUGGUCUGAGAGGAUGAUCCGCCACACUGGAACGGAGACACGGUCCAGACUCCUACGGGAGGCAGCAGUGGGGAAUAUUGGACAAUGGGCGCAAGCCUGAUCCAGCCAUACCGCGUGGGUGAAGAAGGCCUUCGGGUUGUAAAGCCCUUUUGUUGGGAAAGAAAAGCAGCAGGUUAAUACCCCGCUGUUCUGACGGUACCCAAAGAAUAAGCACCGGCUAACUUCGUG
rnacentral:rRNA from 1 species